AGAAUAAAUGAUAGUACUUUCCCACAUAUUAUGUGCUUACAGUGUUAGAAGCUGUAUGUAGCGUAGUAUUUUAAACUCUUUUCCCUUCAAUAGGAAAGCAGUUGUCUAGGCUGACAAUGAAAUGAUGAUCAUUAAAGCUUAGAAUAAACAUCCUUGCAGCAUAAAUAUGGAAACAGCUCACACCUUUUUCCAGCUGUUCUUAAAAAAAAAUCUACAAACAAUUUAACUCUUAUUUCAUAAUUUGGAAAUUUUCUAUGCUGUCAUGACACAUGCUGAAAAGAAAAAGUAAAGAAACUUAGAUGGCAACAAGAAAAUAGGCUUAAAAACAUCACCAAGCAGCUGACUGAUCAUAUUGAGCCUUGAAUUCAGAAGUCAAGUUUCCUCUGGUUUUUUGAAAUGAAGAAGAAAAACAUCUGCCAGUUCGAAUCUAGAAGCACAAAGAAAAUGCUUCAAGGCAGAUUCCCUACUAUGUGCAGGAACCUACAGAAGAUCUGAGGAUAUCCAAAGAGAAUGGGUGAGACUGGUGGGUUUAUAUUGUCCUCUCAACUAGUCCUGUAAACAAGUUAGAAUAUUACAUUUUUUUGUGAAUGUUUUACUCCCCUGUACUGAUCACAACCUUACAGUGAAAUUCCUGGCCACAAGAUUUCAAUGGAUACAGCAGUGUGGGAAGCCAGACACAUAGAGUGCUGGAAUCAGUGCUGAGUCAGACUUCAUGUUGAUAGUCCAGACCUUUGCAUCCAUUCUGGGAGGUCUGCCAGUGGUUAGAGGCCAAAUCCCAUGACCAUUCCAUCUGGAGAAGGAAGAGUACUGUAGAAAUAAAUGGAGACCUGGAUUCUGGAUUCAUAAGCAGACUUUUCCUAAAGAGGGUACCUUGUGGAUUUGAGUUCAUUUUUUGGUUGGUGCACGGCUUACUGUUUUCUUGGUGUCAGUUUUCUGUAUCUUCUUACGUAUUUGUUUAGAGCAGCAAUUGUUUCACUCUUUCAAUAGUUCGGUUAUGCAAGAUACUUCUCAUCUCACAUUAAAAUUUAUAUCUUAUUUAUUAUCCAGAAAUAGUGGCAAAGAUUAUUCUUCAUUUCCUGACUGGGUGCUCUUUGAUAUUGCUCAGUCUCACUGAUUUUGAAAGAACUUAGAUGGAAGCUCUCCAAAUAAAAAUCUGAAGAACCACUCCCUCACCAUUUCCCAUCAGGCACCCAAGGGACUGAGUUGCCCUAAAUUUCAGAAGAUCAUUUUCAUCAGUACAAAUUUAUCCACUUCCAAAUCCAGAUCACUGAUUUCAGUACUGCCACUGGUAAACAGAAGAUAUCUUUCUGGGAGGUGGUCUUCUGAAAGAAAAAAUCUGGGCCUGCAGCAUCCAAUUCAACAGCCCGUAUAGCAGUGUAGAAGUUUGGCUUCCUUCCCCAUCAUUUUUUCUAGGGUUUGGAAUAAAGUCCUCUGGAUACAAGAUACAAGAUUUAUAUGAAGAUUGGUCGGUUUCUACCUCAUCUAGAACAAAGUGAACAAAGCUUUUGAUUUAGGGGGUAGAAAAAUAUGUACGUGGAUGGCUAUGCUUUAUUUUAUUUAUUAGUCAUCACUUCAUGUAUUAGUUUCAAUUCUCUUACUUCUAUGGUUCUCUCACCUACCUUUCAUAUUCUCGUCAGCAUUUGUUAAUGUAUCACACUUGAUCUCUCUGUUAAACUCUUCUGAAUUUCUUGUUCUAAAGUGUUGACCUUGGUCUUGUGCA